AAAUAAGCUUUUAAGGGCAGAUGGUGGAUGCCUUGGAAGAGAGAGGCGAUGAAGGACGUACUAGACUGCGAUAAGCUACGGGGAGCUGUCAAGAAGCUUUGAUCCGUAGAUUUCCGAAUGGGACAACCCAACUAGCACUAGCUAGUUACCUUUAAUGGAGCGAACCCAGCGAAGUGAAACAUCUCAGUAGCUGGAGGAAAAGAAAUCAAAUGAGAUUCUCUUAGUAGCGGCGAGCGAACGGGGAAGAGGGCAAACCGAAUGCUUGCAUUCGGGGUUGAGGACUGCGACAUCCACUGAGAUCAUUUAGUAGAACAAUCUGGAAAGUUUGGCGACACAGGGUGAUAGCCCCGUAUACGAAAGAUGAUUUCUAGGUAGCAGGAUCCAGAGUAGGCCAGGACACGUGAAAUCCGGGCUGAAGCCGGGGAGACCACUCUCCAACCCUAAAUACUACUCUCUUACCGAUAGUGCACAAGUACCGUGAGGGAAAGGUGAAAAGAACCGCAGUGAGCGGAGUGAAAUAGAACCUGAAACCAUCUGCCUACAAUCAUUCAGAGCCCUAUGAUACAUCCCAUAAAGUUUUACUUUAUAGCGCGUAUCUCAAUAAUUAUAUCAUUGGAGUCUCCAUAAGAUCGUAAGGUUUUAUGGGGUGUAUCAGGGUGAUGGACUGCCUUUUGCAUAAUGAUCCUGCGAGUUGUGGUAUCUGGCAAGGUUAAACAAACGUGAAGCCGUAGCGAAAGCGAGUCUGAAAGGGCGCUUAGUCAGAUGCUGCAGACCCGAAGCUGAGUGAUCUAUCCAUGGCCAAGUUGAAGUAAGUGUAAUAGCUUAUGGAGGACUGAACUCGUACCCAUUGAAACGGGUUGGGAUGAGCUGUGGAUAGGGGUGAAAGGCCAAACAAACUCAGUGAUAGCUGGUUCUCUUCGAAAUAUAUUUAGGUAUAGCCUCAAGUGAUAGUAAUAGGGGGUAGAGCUCUGAUUGGGCUAGGGCUGCUCACCGCGGUACCAAACCCUGUCAAACUUCAAAUACCUAUUACCGUAUCUUGGGAGUCAGGCGGUGGGUGAUAAAAUCAAUCGUCAAGAGGGAAACAACCCAGACUACCAACUAAGGUCCCCAAGUUCUAUUCUAAGUGGAAAAAGAUGUGGAGUUACUCAGACAACCAGGAGGUUGGCUUAGAAGCAGCCAUCCUUUAAAGAAAGCGUAACAGCUCACUGGUCUAGUGAUUCUGCGCUGAAAAUAUAACGGGGCUAAGAUAGACACCGAAGUUGUAGAUUGUGCUUUGCACAGUGGUAGAAGAGCGUUCGUAUCUGCGUUGAAGGUAUACCGGUAAGGAGUGCUGGAGCGAUGCGAAGUGAGCAUGCAGGAAUGAGUAGCGAUAAAAUAUGUGAGAAUCAUAUUCGCCGUAAAUCUAAGGUUUCCUACGCUAUGCUCGUCAUCGUAGGGUUAGUCGGGUCCUAAGACAAGUCCGAAAGGGGUAGUCGAUGGAAAAUGGGUUAAUAUUCCCAUACCAACCAUUGUGUGCGAUGGGGGGACGCAUAGGGUUAAGUGCGCUAACUGAUGGAAUAGUUAGUUUAAGAGUGUAAGUUGGGAGAUAGGCAAAUCCACUCCUGUAUCACAAGCUCGAUGAGCUCUUUGAAGUCUUCGGAUGGAUAAGAGUGUCACUGAUACCGUCGUGCCAAGAAAAGCCUCUAAGUUUAGCAAUGGUUGCCCGUACCGCAAACCGACACAGGUAGAUGAGAUGAGUAUUCUAAGGCGCGUGAAAGAACUCUCUUUAAGGAACUCUGCAAACUAGCACCGUAAGUUCGCGAUAAGGUGUGCCUAUGAAAGUAGGUCUCAGCAAAGAGUCCCUCCCGACUGUUUACCAAAAACACAGCACUUUGCCAACUCGUAAGAGGAAGUAUAAGGUGUGACGCCUGCCCGGUGCUCGAAGGUUAAGAGGAUGAGUCAGUCAGCAAUGAUGAAGCUUUGAAUUGAAGCCCGAGUAAACGGCGGCCGUAACUAUAACGGUCCUAAGGUAGCGAAAUUCCUUGUCGGUUAAAUACCGACCUGCAUGAAUGGCGUAACGAGAUGGGAGCUGUCUCAAAGAGAGAUUCAGUGAAAUUGUAGUGGAGGUGAAAAUUCCUCCUACCCGCGGCAAGACGGAAAGACCCCGUGGACCUUUACUACAGCUUGGCACUGCCGAUGGGAGCAUUAUGCGCAGGAUAGGUGGGAGGCUUUGAAAUCUUCACUCCGGUGGAGAUGGAGCCAUCCUUGAGAUACCACCCUUAAUGUUUCUGUCUGCUAACUGGCUUGAGUUAUCCUCAAGCAGGACAAUGCCUGGUGGGUAGUUUGACUGGGGCGGUCGCCUCCUAAAAAGUAACGGAGGCUUGCAAAGGUUGGCUCAUUGCGGUUGGAAAUCGCAAGUUGAGUGUAAUGGCAUAAGCCAGCCUGACUGUAAGACAAACAAGUCGAGCAGAGACGAAAGUCGGUCAUAGUGAUCCGGUGGUUCUGUGUGGAAGGGCCAUCGCUCAAAGGAUAAAAGGUACCCCGGGGAUAACAGGCUGAUCUCCCCCAAGAGCUCACAUCGACGGGGAGGUUUGGCACCUCGAUGUCGGCUCAUCGCAUCCUGGGGCUGGAGCAGGUCCCAAGGGUAUGGCUGUUCGCCAUUUAAAGCGGUACGCGAGCUGGGUUCAGAACGUCGUGAGACAGUUCGGUCCCUAUCUGCCGUGGGCGUAGGAAAGUUGAGGAGAGCUGUCCCUAGUACGAGAGGACCGGGAUGGACAUGCCACUAGUGUACCAGUUGUUCUGCCAAGAGCAUCGCUGGGUAGCUACGCAUGGAUGUGAUAACCGCUGAAAGCAUCUAAGCGGGAAGCCAACUCCAAGAUAAACUUUCCCUAAGGUCGCAAGAAGACUACUUGCUUGAUAGGUUGGGUGUGUAAGUAUAGUAAUAUAUUUAGCUGACCAAUACUAAUUGACCGUUUGGCUUAUUUUU
rfam:Helicobacter mustelae 12198 complete genome